rnacentral:rRNA from 1 species
UGGGGAAUCUUGCGCAAUGGGCGAAAGCCUGACGCAGCAACGCCGCGUGUGUGAUGAAGGUCUUCGGAUCGUAAAGCACUGUCGCGAGGGACGAAUAAGCCUUUGGCUAACAUCCAGGGGCGAUGACGGUACCUCGAGAGGAAGCACCGGCUAACUCUGUGCCAGCAGCCGCGGUAAUACAGAGGGUGCGAGCGUUGUUCGGAAUUAUUGGGCGUAAAGCGCGUGUAGGCGGCUUGGCAAGUCGGAUGUGAAAGCCCUCGGCUUAACCGAGGAAGUGCGUUCGAAACUGCCUGGCUUGAGUACCGGAGAGGGUGGCGGAAUUCCCGGUGUAGAGGUGAAAUUCGUAGAUAUCGGGAGGAACACCAGCGGCGUAGGCGGCCACCUGGACGGAUACUGACGCUGAGACGCGAAAGCGUGGGGAGCAAACAGG